UUAUCUUCUUGAGAAGUCAUGAUCUCUUUGGUCGGCAGCAAGAGUGGAGGGAACUGUUUGUGCAGCCGCAGGAGCCAAAGUCCCCCUUAGAGGAGCUAGAGUUAGGGUCGGGCUGCGAUAGGUAGCGCGGCGACUGGUCCCGAGGAGUAACCAACUUAUCAGGUCGCUGGGGCAGUGACGAGGCUUGAGUCUGCCUUGCUCCUGUGAGACAUUCGUACGCGCUGUUACAGCCCUGCAGCCGGUUCCUCUGCCUGGAAUGAGCCCUUCAUUUCCCGGGUCCGCUCAGGGGAAAGGUGGUGAAAUCCUCAAAUCUGCUUCCUUAUGUGGUUAAUAAAAGAUCUCAAGCAGAGCCUGGGGGGGGGGAAAAUUAUAAGUGCAAGUGAGUGCUUUGCGUGUUUUAACGUUUAAAAUCUCGACUCCGGUGAAUCAUUGAAUCAUAUAUUGCAAGUUUCAGUGUCUAACCAAGUUUGGGGGACGCCUAUUACUCAUGCUGAUAAAAUCUCUGCACUGCGCUCCCCAAAUUUGCCUCUCUCAAACGGAAAGCUGGGCCGAGCGGGGGUGGGGAGGGUCUCCAGUCCGAGACGCUGCGCUCGGGGCUUCUGCCCAGUUUCCUGCCUCAGAGUCGCCGCGUCCGCCCCAGCCCAGAGCAGUUUGUGCAAUUUAGAAACUCGAUAGGAGGCAGCAGCUGAUCUCCCACCACCCUAAAAAUAAUCCGCUCCGGCGCCCUGCGUCCUUCGGCUAGGGGAGGAAAUCUCUGCCUUCGGAGUAAGGAUUCUGCUUCUCGGUUUGAAGUGUACACGUAACACGUAGGAAGCCGGUGUUUUGAAGGUAGUGCAAGUGCACCAAGUAGGGGUUUGAAGCAGCUGCAAGCGAUUGCCCAAGG